UACGUCGGGUGCAAGCGUUGUCCGGAAUUAUUGGGCGUAAAGAGCGCGUAGGCGGUCCGAUAAGUCGGCUGUGAAAGUCAUGGGCUCAACCCAUGAACGCCGGCCGAUACUGUCGGACUAGAGUCCGGAAGAGGCAAGUGGAAUUCCCGGUGUAGCGGUGAAAUGCGCAGAUAUCGGGAGGAACACCAAUGGCGAAGGCAGCUUGCUGGGACGGUACUGACGCUGAGGCGCGAAAGCGUGGGGAGCAAACAGG
rnacentral:rRNA from 1 species